GAGAGGGGCAGAGGGGGCUAGGAGCCAGGACUCCUGGGUUCUGUGACCUUGGGACUGGGUGUUCCUGACCCGGUUCUGCUUCCUCUCUGACUAUGGACGCCUGGAUUUCCGGUUCCGCUACCCAGAGGCCAAGUGCUGUGAGAAUAUUCUGCUGUAUUUUGAUGACCCCUCGCAAUGGCCAGCCGUCUACAAGCAGGGGAACAAGGUCAGAGGACGGGGGUGUCUAGGGAGACUUUCCAGCCUUCUGCAAGGCGUGAAAGCUAGAGAGAUAUCAAAUGAACGUGGC